rnacentral:sRNA from 1 species
GCUUGAACAACGAGAAGGAUGUAGUCACCACUGACCAAGGUGGGCAGACACUAACAGGAGCCUGUUUGAAGAGGGAGAAGGUUGAGCUUCAGGCCUGUUGAAUUUGCGAUGCCUGUUGGGCAUCCAGGUGGAACCGCCAGGUCGAUGGAGUUGAAUCUCCCCAUUUCCUAGAUGAAGUAACUGAGUCCAGCGUGGGUGGCGUGCCUGAGCCCACACACCUAGUGGCAGGGCUGGAAUUGGCAUCAGGGUGCCCCCGUGGGUGGCCACAUCCUCAGUUACCUCCUGGAAAAGUCACGAGUGGUGCACCAGAAUCAUGGGGAACGGAACUUCCACAUCUUCUACCAGCUGCUGGAGGGGGGCGAGGAGGAGACUCUUCGCAGGCUGGGCUUGGAACGGAACCCCCAGAGCUACCUGUACCUGGUGAAGGUGAGUGGCUGGCAAGGAGGGCAGGUGCCACCCAGGGAUCCGGUGCCAGGGCUGGCAACCCAGCUGUGCCCUUCCUCCAGGGCCAGUGUGCCAAAGUCUCCUCCAUCAACGACAAGAGUGACUGGAAGGUCGUCAGGAAGGCUCUGACAGUCAUUGAUUUCACCGAGGAUGAAGUGGAGGACCUGCUGAGCAUCGUGGC